AGUUAUUUUGUCACCCUCUUGUGGGAUGUUCGGGUAACAUCUGGCAUGUUUCUGAUUGCAACGUGUGGGUCCAAUAUGUGCUCAAGAAGAUGGUGAGAAGGUGAUUGUUCUAAAUAUUACAGUGGUGUCAGUGCAUACGAUGCUGUAAAAUGAGCAUUUUGGAGUUCCUGCAGUUUUAAUGUGCUGCUGAGCAAACUUUCCCUUUUGUAGGCCAAGUAUUUCUCCCAAAGGUUAACUGUAGAUUCUUAUGAGACUUGGCACAACAGAGGAAGAAGAGGAACCAGAUAUCUAGCUUAAACAGCUAUAUCUUCUCAGAAAGUAUCUGUCUUUCCACCAUUGCUUUUCAGAUGGUUUCCUUAAGCCCUGAUUUAUUACUCCGAGUUCAAAAACUGUGCCUAGUCUGAAGUUGUUGGAGAAAUACACUCCCUCUCUCCAUCGAUCCAAGCAGUUGGUGUCUGAUGCAAACUGCUCAGGGUAAAUGCGAACCAGAUGUUCCCUGAUUCUGACAUGUGACCCAUCCCUCAUACCCUCAGCCAGCGCACGUCGGUCAGAGAGCUGCAGAGCAGCACAGGGCAGCCUCGGUUAGCACACUGCUCCACAUCCCACUUACCCCACACAGUCAGCUGCUGGAAAGAGCGCCCUGGCCCCAAAAAGCCGAGUCACUGCACAGUGCCGAGCACAGUCAAAUGGAUGUGAGGUGAACAAACACACCAAUCAUCUGUGGGAUCUAACAGAGCUGCCGAGCUUGGGUAUGCCUAUGCCUGCAAUCCCUCUGCAGCAGCUCUGCCUGCAAGCACCCUGCAGAGAGCUCAUGCUGCUGCACAAGGCAGGUCAGCCCAUCCAAAAGGUCUGAGAUAGGGAAAUCUGGAGUCAGAUCAUGUUUCCCAACUGUUAAUAAAAUUUCCCCUGGAAUAAAAGCAGAGGAGCUGGCGCCACUUUGUGUUAUUCAAAAACCACAAAUUUCCUCUCCCUCCCAAACUGACAGUUACAGACUCUGUUGCAACUUCUUAAAAAUGUAAGAUGUUUUCCCCAAACAAGUAUCCUCCUCCUUCACAAUGCACCCAGGGAAAAU
ensembl:lncRNA